CUGAAGCAUUGAAAACCUCUGUCCAAGGAAGGAAGUCACAGGGCUACUCCAGAACGCUGGUCUGUGAUUGGUCAGAGGAGGAUGUGUAGUCGCUUGGUCUCCGCGGUCGAGUCUUGAGGAAGAUUAAGGACCUGAGGUCUUCACUGAUGGACUCUGACUGUCCAGAUGAGUUUAUCCGUCCAAUCACCAGAGAGCUGAUGAAGGAGCCGGUCAUCGCUGCAGGUCAGUGGACAACAGAUUUGAUUUGGAUACAAAAAAAAAAAUCAAAAGCAGCUUCACAAAAGGCGCAUGUUCAUUACCUUACAGUCAAAAUCAG